ensembl:lncRNA
GCUUUCCCGGCUGAUCUGAUUACUUUUCUCUUCACGUUUUGUCCCAAUAGCAAAUUACCAAUUCUAUGAAUUGCAAAGCAGCCUCUGAGACGCUGAGGGGUAGAGAGGGGGAGAUUGUGAAGAUUGAAAGGGAUCUUUGCAAACACAAUCACGUUCUUAAAUGGAAAUGCGGGGCUUUAAACAAAUCUUACAUCUCUCCUGUUUCAGUCGUGUAAAACUCCGCAAUCAGGAACACACACUCAGGAACGGAGCUGUUGCUGAAGAUUUUUUGGGUAUCAGUCCUAUUUCAAUUAUUUAUUGUAAUGUAUUUUUGCUAACGGUCGCAUUUGUGCAUUUGUCUUGUGUUCAGUGGGCUACGUCCACAGGGUUUUGAAUAGAAAUGCAGCGUUGCCUAAUAUUUGGGGGAAAAACCAGACAUGAAAGCAAAAUGUUUUGCAGUGGGCGGGAGGAUGGUUGAGGAGAGGCAUCUCUGACUGCCGCACAUCUGAAUUCGAACCCCCCACCUCUUCUUCCUCGUUUACACUCAUUUUCUGGCAAUUAAAAAGCAGUGGUGCUGCAGGUUCUUUCGCCUGCAGUGCAACACUCCACCACUGAUGAAUAAUUUCUGCUCUCUGCCGAGAAGCUGGCCCUCCUUUCAUGUUCUUGCUUUGUUGAUUUGCCAUUAAAACUCAGCAUGUGGUUUGGCUGUAGCUGAAAUAUGUGAACACACACUUUGCGUAUUGUAUGCAUGUGUUGCUGUCCAUCAUGUUUUUUUUUUAAUUAUAUUUUUAUCAAUUGUGUUGCAUUGAGUGGUUGAUUCAUCUCAUUGAGUUAUGCUCAUGUGACUUGCAAUGGGUUUUUCCUACAGCAUCAUUCUCCAUUAUCAGUGCGUUGAUUUGAUUUGAGGGUUUGAUACUUAUUUGAAUGAGUCCCAGAGUACUACUUCUUGGUCAUGCACACUCUCAUUACAUGCAGUGUUUUUGUGUGGAGCAUGGAGGGAAAGUAUGUAUGUGUGUGCG